rnacentral:rRNA from 1 species
UACGUAGGUGGCAAGCGUUGUCCGGAUUUACUGGGCGUAAAGAGCGCGCAGGCGGUCGACCAAGUCGCGUGUGAAAGCCCCCGGCUUAACUGGGGAGGGUCAUUCGAUACUGUUCAACUUGAAGGCAGGAGAGGGCAGCAGAAUUCCCGGUGUAGUGGUGAAAUGCGUAGAUAUCGGGAGGAAUACCAGUGGCGAAGGCGGCUGCCUGGCCUGUUCUUGACGCUGAGGCGCGAAAGCUGGGGGAGCAAACGGGG